ACGCUGGGGUCCAGUCCGCCCCGAUGGGCGACUCAAAUUCGUAUAGUUAUUCGCCUCCU
rnacentral:rRNA from 1 species